GGGUUGUGAGGUUAAGCGACUAAGCGUACACGGUGGAUGCCCUGGCAGUCAGAGGCGAUGAAGGACGUGCUAAUCUGCGAUAAGCGUCGGUAAGGUGAUAUGAACCGUUAUAACCGGCGAUUUCCGAAUGGGGAAACCCAGUGUGUUUCGACACACUAUCAUUAACUGAAUCCAUAGGUUAAUGAGGCGAACCGGGGGAACUGAAACAUCUAAGUACCCCGAGGAAAAGAAAUCAACCGAGAUUCCCCCAGUAGCGGCGAGCGAACGGGGAGCAGCCCAGAGCCUGAAUCAGUGUGUGUGUUAGUGGAAGCGUCUGGAAAGGCGCGCGAUACAGGGUGACAGCCCCGUACACAAAAAUGCACAUGCUGUGAGCUCGAUGAGUAGGGCGGGACACGUGGUAUCCUGUCUGAAUAUGGGGGGACCAUCCUCCAAGGCUAAAUACUCCUGACUGACCGAUAGUGAACCAGUACCGUGAGGGAAAGGCGAAAAGAACCCCGGCGAGGGGAGUGAAAAAGAACCUGAAACCGUGUACGUACAAGCAGUGGGAGCACGCUUAGGCGUGUGACUGCGUACCUUUUGUAUAAUGGGUCAGCGACUUAUAUUCUGUAGCAAGGUUAACCGAAUAGGGGAGCCGAAGGGAAACCGAGUCUUAACUGGGCGUUAAGUUGCAGGGUAUAGACCCGAAACCCGGUGAUCUAGCCAUGGGCAGGUUGAAGGUUGGGUAACACUAACUGGAGGACCGAACCGACUAAUGUUGAAAAAUUAGCGGAUGACUUGUGGCUGGGGGUGAAAGGCCAAUCAAACCGGGAGAUAGCUGGUUCUCCCCGAAAGCUAUUUAGGUAGCGCCUCGUGAAUUCAUCUCCGGGGGUAGAGCACUGUUUCGGCAAGGGGGUCAUCCCGACUUACCAACCCGAUGCAAACUGCGAAUACCGGAGAAUGUUAUCACGGGAGACACACGGCGGGUGCUAACGUCCGUCGUGAAGAGGGAAACAACCCAGACCGCCAGCUAAGGUCCCAAAGUCAUGGUUAAGUGGGAAACGAUGUGGGAAGGCCCAGACAGCCAGGAUGUUGGCUUAGAAGCAGCCAUCAUUUAAAGAAAGCGUAAUAGCUCACUGGUCGAGUCGGCCUGCGCGGAAGAUGUAACGGGGCUAAACCAUGCACCGAAGCUGCGGCAGCGACGCUUAUGCGUUGUUGGGUAGGGGAGCGUUCUGUAAGCCUGCGAAGGUGUGCUGUGAGGCAUGCUGGAGGUAUCAGAAGUGCGAAUGCUGACAUAAGUAACGAUAAAGCGGGUGAAAAGCCCGCUCGCCGGAAGACCAAGGGUUCCUGUCCAACGUUAAUCGGGGCAGGGUGAGUCGACCCCUAAGGCGAGGCCGAAAGGCGUAGUCGAUGGGAAACAGGUUAAUAUUCCUGUACUUGGUGUUACUGCGAAGGGGGGACGGAGAAGGCUAUGUUGGCCGGGCGACGGUUGUCCCGGUUUAAGCGUGUAGGCUGGUUUUCCAGGCAAAUCCGGAAAAUCAAGGCUGAGGCGUGAUGACGAGGCACUACGGUGCUGAAGCAACAAAUGCCCUGCUUCCAGGAAAAGCCUCUAAGCAUCAGGUAACAUCAAAUCGUACCCCAAACCGACACAGGUGGUCAGGUAGAGAAUACCAAGGCGCUUGAGAGAACUCGGGUGAAGGAACUAGGCAAAAUGGUGCCGUAACUUCGGGAGAAGGCACGCUGAUAUGUAGGUGAAGCGACUUGCUCGUGGAGCUGAAAUCAGUCGAAGAUACCAGCUGGCUGCAACUGUUUAUUAAAAACACAGCACUGUGCAAACACGAAAGUGGACGUAUACGGUGUGACGCCUGCCCGGUGCCGGAAGGUUAAUUGAUGGGGUCAGCGCAAGCGAAGCUCUUGAUCGAAGCCCCGGUAAACGGCGGCCGUAACUAUAACGGUCCUAAGGUAGCGAAAUUCCUUGUCGGGUAAGUUCCGACCUGCACGAAUGGCGUAAUGAUGGCCAGGCUGUCUCCACCCGAGACUCAGUGAAAUUGAACUCGCUGUGAAGAUGCAGUGUACCCGCGGCAAGACGGAAAGACCCCGUGAACCUUUACUAUAGCUUGACACUGAACAUUGAGCCUUGAUGUGUAGGAUAGGUGGGAGGCUUUGAAGUGUGGACGCCAGUCUGCAUGGAGCCGACCUUGAAAUACCACCCUUUAAUGUUUGAUGUUCUAACGUGGACCCGUGAUCCGGGUUGCGGACAGUGUCUGGUGGGUAGUUUGACUGGGGCGGUCUCCUCCUAAAGAGUAACGGAGGAGCACGAAGGUUGGCUAAUCCUGGUCGGACAUCAGGAGGUUAGUGCAAUGGCAUAAGCCAGCUUGACUGCGAGCGUGACGGCGCGAGCAGGUGCGAAAGCAGGUCAUAGUGAUCCGGUGGUUCUGAAUGGAAGGGCCAUCGCUCAACGGAUAAAAGGUACUCCGGGGAUAACAGGCUGAUACCGCCCAAGAGUUCAUAUCGACGGCGGUGUUUGGCACCUCGAUGUCGGCUCAUCACAUCCUGGGGCUGAAGUAGGUCCCAAGGGUAUGGCUGUUCGCCAUUUAAAGUGGUACGCGAGCUGGGUUUAGAACGUCGUGAGACAGUUCGGUCCCUAUCUGCCGUGGGCGCUGGAGAACUGAGGGGGGCUGCUCCUAGUACGAGAGGACCGGAGUGGACGCAUCACUGGUGUUCGGGUUGUCAUGCCAAUGGCACUGCCCGGUAGCUAAAUGCGGAAGAGAUAAGUGCUGAAAGCAUCUAAGCACGAAACUUGCCCCGAGAUGAGUUCUCCCUGACUCCUUGAGAGUCCUGAAGGAACGUUGAAGACGACGACGUUGAUAGGCCGGGUGUGUAAGCGCAGCGAUGCGUUGAGCUAACCGGUACUAAUGAACCGUGAGGCUUAACCUUACAACGCCGAAG
rnacentral:rRNA from 1 species